CCUACGGGGGGCAGCAGUGAGGAAUAUUGGUCAAUGGGCGCGAGCCUGAACCAGCCAAGUCGCGUGCGGGAUGAAGGUUCUAUGGAUCGUAAACCUCUUUUAUACGGGGAUAAAGUGUGGGACGUGUCCUAUUUUGUAUGUACCUUAUGAAUAAGGAUCGGCUAACUCCGUGCCAGCAGCCGCGGUAAUACGGAGGAUCCGAGCGUUAUCCGGAUUUAUUGGGUUUAAAGGGUGCGUAGGCGGCCUUUUAAGUCAGAGGUGAAAUUCUGUGGCUCAACCAUAGAAUUGCCGUUGAAACUGGGGGGCUUGAGUAUGUUUGAGGCAGGCGGAAUGCGUGGUGUAGCGGUGAAAUGCUUAGAUAUCACGCAGAACCCCGAUUGCGAAGGCAGCCUGCCAAGCCAUGACUGACGCUGAUGCACGAAAGCGUGGGGAUCAAACAGGAUUAGAUACCCUAGUAGUC
rnacentral:rRNA from 1 species